rnacentral:rRNA from 1 species
AACGGUGAUCAUCAAGCUUGCUUGGUGUGAUCAGUGGCGAACGGGUGAGUAACACGUGAGUAACCUGCCCCAGACUCUGGGAUAACUCCGGGAAACCGGGGCUAAUACCGGAUAUGACACCGACGGGCAUCCGUACGGUGUGGAAAGUUUUUUCGGUCUGGGAUGGGCUCGCGGCCUAUCAGCUUGUUGGUGAGGUAGUGGCUCACCAAGGCGACGACGGGUAGCCGGCCUGAGAGGGCGACCGGCCACACUGGGACUGAGACACGGCCCAGACUCCUACGGGAGGCAGCAGUGGGGAAUAUUGCACAAUGGGCGGAAGCCUGAUGCAGCGACGCCGCGUGAGGGAUGACGGCCUUCGGGUUGUAAACCUCUUUCAGCAGGGAAGAAGCGUGAGUGACGGUACCUGCAGAAGAAGCACCGGCUAACUACGUGCCAGCAGCCGCGGUAAUACGUAGGGUGCGAGCGUUGUCCGGAAUUAUUGGGCGUAAAGAGCUUGUAGGCGGUUUGUCGCGUCUGCUGUGAAAAUCCGGGGCUCAACCCCGGACUUGCAGUGGGUACGGGCAGACUAGAGUGUGGUAGGGGAGACUGGAAUUCCUGGUGUAGCGGUGGAAUGCGCAGAUAUCAGGAGGAACACCGAUGGCGAAGGCAGGUCUCUGGGCCACUACUGACGCUGAGAAGCGAAAGCAUGGGGAGCGAACAGGAUUAGAUACCCUGGUAGUC